rnacentral:hammerhead_ribozyme from 1 species
AUCCAGGUGACGAGUCCCAUAUAAGAUGAAGCGCGAGUCCUGGAU